AGCAGCAGCCGCGGGAAUACCGAGGGUGCGAGCGUUAAUCGGAUUUACUGGGCGUAAAGCGUGCGUAGGCGGCUUUUUAAGUCGGAUGUGAAAUCCCUGAGCUUAACUUAGGAAUUGCAUUCGAUACUGGGAAGCUAGAGUAUGGGAGAGGAUGGUAGAAUUCCAGGUGUAGCGGUGAAAUGCGUAGAGAUCUGGAGGAAUACCGAUGGCGAAGGCAGCCAUCUGGCCUAAUACUGACGCUGAGGUACGAAAGCAUGGGGAGCAAACAGGAUUAGAUACCCCUGUAGUCCCUGUCUCUUAUAC
rnacentral:rRNA from 1 species